UUCUGAGAAGGAAAUUAAGAAAACCAAAACCAAAACCAAAACACCACCACACACUUUAGUGGAUGAGAGCCGCUACCUUGGUAAGUAACCUUCCUUCAGCCACGCUCUGUCAAGCAGCGGCCUAAGGGCAGAAAGUCAUGACAACACCCAGAAAAAGGAAGCAUCCUGUGCAUUAUAUUUAAGUGUUAAUUUUAGGAGAAGCCCUCAUCUGUCAUUAGCUGUGUGCCAUUAAACAAGUUACCCAGAGCUCUGUGGCUUAGUUGCCUCAUGUCUGAAAUGAACUGACAGACGACGCAAUCUCUCAACCAUCUAUGGAAAGACUUAUCUCACACAGUCACAGCAUCUUUGAGCUAGAAGAUAUGAAACUCAUUGUUCUACAAAUGAAGCAAGUGAGGGCUAGAAGUUGUGUGUACAGUCAGGCAGUGGCAGAAAUCGAACUAGACCCUGCAUCACAUUGCAGUCAGUCAAUAAUGAGUCCAACCAAAAAGAAGAACUGUAUGGGGAAAACACAGAAAAAUAAAAUAAAAUGAACUCUCAGAAGUAUAAGUAAAAAAUUAAAUA